UUUACAUUUGAGUGAGUGGCGAACUGGUGAGUAACACGUGGGAAACCUGCCCAGAAGCGGGGGAUAACACCUGGAAACAGAUGCUAAUACCGCAUAACAACUUGGACCGCAUGGUCCAGUUUGAAAGAUGGCUUCGGCUAUCACUUUUGGAUGGUCCCGCGGCGUAUUAGCUAGAUGGUGGUAACGGCUCACCAUGGCAAUGAUACGUAGCCGACCUGAGAGGGUAAUCGGCCACAUUGGGACUGAGACACGGCCCAAACUCCUACGGAGGCAGCAUAGGGAAUCUU
rnacentral:rRNA from 1 species